CACCGCGGUUAUACGAGAGGCCCAAGUUGAUAUCCGCCGGCGUAAAGAGUGGUUAAGAGAACCCAAUACUAAAGCCGAACACUCUCAAAGCUGUUAUAUGCACCCGAGAGCAAGAAGCCCUCUCACGAAAGUAGCUUUAACUUUUCUGACUCCACGUAAGCUGAGGAA
rnacentral:rRNA from 1 species